GCAGUGGUGAUUCAGUGGUAGAAUUCUCACCUUCCAUGCAGGAGACUGAGUUUGAUUCCCAGCCAAUGCA
rnacentral:tRNA from 1 species